rnacentral:rRNA from 1 species
GUGUCAGCCGCCGCGGUAAUACAGAGGGUGCAAGCGUUAAUCGGAAUGACUGGGCGUAAAGCGUGCGUAGGUGGCUGAUUAAGUUAGAUGUGAAAUCCCCGGGCUUAACCUGGGAACUGCAUUUAAUACUGGUUGGCUAGAGUGUGGGAGAGGUAAGUGGAAUUUCCGGUGUAGCGGUGAAAUGCGUAGAUAUCGGAAGGAACACCAGUGGCGAAGGCGGCUUACUGGCCUAACACUGACACUGAGGCACGAAAGCGUGGGGAGCAAACAGGAUUAGAUACCCUGGUAGUCCACGCCGUAAACGAUGAGAACUAGAUGAUGGGUGCAUAAAAGCACUUAGUAUCGAAGCUAACGCGUUAAGUUCUCCGCCUGGGGAGUACGGUCGCAAGAUUAAAACUCAAAGGAAUUGACGG